GCUGGGCGUGGUGGUGGGCGCCUGUAAUCCCAGCUACUCGGGAGGCUGAGGCAGGAGAAUCACUUGAACCCGGGAGGUGGAGGUUACAGUGAACCGAUACUGCACCACUGCACUCCAGCCUGGGUGACACAGUGAAACUCUGCCUCAA
ensembl:misc_RNA Metazoa_SRP Metazoan signal recognition particle RNA